UGCCAACAAAGUGUGUGUCAUCUCAGUAAAAGGUGGAUAUCUCACUAAAUGUGUAUUAUGUUCUCUCAUUCAGUUACAACAGGGCACUGGGUGCUUUAUUCAUUAGAAGCCAUUACUUUGAUUAGACACUUAUUAUUAUUUAGAAAAAAAAACAACCUGUGCACCCCCAAAAAACACACAUCAAUAAACAGGUGUCAUUCAACAUAUUUCUUAUUCAUCACAUCGAUUCACAUCUUCAAAAUGAUUGGCAUCAUUAAAAACCUUAAUGGCUUAUUUACAAGAUGCCAGCACAUGUCCGCAAAUGACCAUAUCAUGCAAUUCUCCUGUGGUUGAAAAACAAAAAUCAAUGAUGAAAAUUAGCUCCAUUCAGUGAUGUCAGACACCAACAGAGAUGUGACUGAAGGCCACAAAUAAGAUGAUUCUGCCAAGACAAUUUCAACAAUAACAAGGGAAUCGUCAGUAAAUGACACUUCUGGUAUUCUUGACUGUCAUGUUGUUAUCUGUAUCUAAAUGCUGUUGCUCCAAUCCUUUAAAGUGGCUCUAAACCAUCACACAUAUGUAGUUUACUCACUUACAGCCUGCAUCACAUGCAGCAAAUACAGCUGAUUAAGAAUAUGGAAAGCCUUUUAAAAGAUAACCUAUUUUUAUUUGAAUCUCAAAGAGUGACAUUUAAAAGGAAAACUGAUAAAGAGCGAUGAAACGUGGACUCUACUGUCCUGAAGACAGCGGCAGUGAUUAAACAUUCAGAUAUUAAACUGAGGUCAUGCACUGCUACAAAGAGUAAGAACCCCUGAGAAACGAGAAAAUAUUCUACACCUUGUACCUUAUCAAAAGAGAUGAGCAGAAUGAGACUGCAUUUAUUGUUAUACUAUGUAUGUCUGGAAAAAAAAAAAACUUUUAUCGUAAAGCUUUGAAAUAAGCCCAACACAAAGUAAGAGGCCAACUUUCUUGCUUUAGCAGUAACAACAAAGCCAUCACAGGUGCUAUACUCCAUGCUCUCUUAAACCAGCACAAUGGCUCUCCAAAAAUAUAAAAGGGAGGAAGUGAGAGGGCUGUGCUCCAUGCUUCUCAGGUGAACAGCUGGACUGUGGAAUAUUUGGCGGGCAGAAAGUAUGAGGCACAGCUGGCUUUUAAGAGGAAGAGCUCCCCUGGAGCCUCUGGGAGGUCACAGCCUGCUAGGCCGUGAAGCGUUGCUCGGCAGGAGCCGUGUGUAAAGGCAGAAGGCCUGUGCCACUGUGUGCAGAUGUUCCCCCCGCUCUGCUGGCUGCUUCAAAACACACACAACACACACACACACACAAUGCACGAACCUUGGUGCAGAGAUGAUUUAACACAUAGCAGGAACACUUAACACACACCUUCACUGACACAUAUACAUAAACACAGGCGUCGCACACAUUCAUACAUGCUGUACACACAUAUUCCCUCUCUAUACACUGUCUGCACCACUACAUCACUUUCUUGUGUCCUCCAUAGCAACGAGCACCACCUCGGUGUUCCUGAGUGGUACCGCUGGAAACAAUAAAGUAGGCUUUAAAUGAGCUCUCCAAGGUCUAAAAUACUCAAACAAAUGUAAGAAGGUGCCCCUCAAAUGCAGCAGCAAACUGCUCCUCCUCACUUCAUAACAGAGCAGCUUCUAUUCAUUACCCACAGGUAAAGCCGAGUUACAGGACAAACUAAAGGUGAAAAUAGCUCAAGGCUCCAACCUUCAACCCCCUCAGUGCUAUAUCUUAUUAUGUAUGUCUCUCACACUGCGCCACAUUUGAAUAGCAUGCCACAACAAACACAAUCAAUAACACAAAAAACGUCCUUCCUUUAAUUCCUGAGCUUUAUGCAUUUAUCGACCUCAGUGCUCUUCUGGGAUGUAUACAUGAGGGACAGACCAUGCUCUCCACGGCAAAGUGAGCCAAUGUUUGCGGUAUCAUUACAAAAUAACUCGUUCAAGAAUGUCAGUCAAAGUCGUGCGUUAUGGGAGAUUUAUUUCAGGUAGAACGUGUGGCAUGAGAGAUGGCACCAUAGGAUAGGUGCAGUCAUGAGACACCAGCAUCAGCAGUCUACUGACAGUGAUGAACAGAGAAAAAGACAGUAUGAGUGGCAGGCCCUAGUGAGGGACAGUACUCCGCUCAGCAACCUCUUCCGCACCGUCUGUCCACCCCGACAAACCCUUGCAAACCCAAGAGACAAAUCCUGCUGCUGACACCAAUGGACAAGCACAUCUGGCAACCAGGGUCCACUGGGGUCUACAGUGACAGCCCCAAUCAGCCACUUGAUAUUCACUGUGCUGACUUCCCAUCCUCUCACUCUGAUGCCAGACACAGGAGGAAAGAGAGAAAAAGAGAGAAGGGGGCAACCUUUCAACAGGAAAUCAAAUAUUAAUCAGCCCAAUCAGGCACAUCUCCGUAUAACUGCAGUCUGACACUGAUAUCCAAUCAAUCAGUCAGAAAACCUAAAUAUGGAUGGAUUACCUUGAGUUCAACAAAAGAACAAUAGGAGUUUUAGACUGAAUGAUGACAAGGGGACCAUAAAUAUUAAUGCCUCAGUGGAGUGCUGAUAAGUGUUUCCAGAAUUGUGUCAUUUUAGAACUAAAUCUCAGCUCAUCAGCAUGUGUGUAACGCCGAAACACGUGAACGCUUCGGUACAGUAUCAAAGUAGCAAUGGUUGUUUGCAGUGUUAAAACCUGUACUGAUAUGACAGCACUGGUUGUUUUAUAUGUAUUGUUAGUUCUAUUGCCCUUUCAUUAAUUAUGUACCAGAAACUGGCCAAAGGCUAUAUUGUUGUCUGCAGUGAAAAUUAAAUAUUGAUAAAGCUCCAGCUUUCACCCCAGAUUUCAUUGUGUUAACAAAUAUGUUUUGUUUGCAAAACAAUUUGAAUUUAAUAAUUCAUCAAAAGGGGGAGAGGCCAUUAUCAUUCAGUAUGAGCCCUGUGCGGGCUCCAGAUGUCAGGGAUCAUGUCCUCUCACUGACGAUACAUGCAAAGUCUGUGCCCUCUUUUAUACAUUAUUGAAAGCAAAUUCUGCAAGGUGGGUUUAGACAUGGGCACAGGGACUGAUACAAAACAUGUAUAGAGGUGACCUGAGACUGUCUGUCAGGAAGAAAUCGUGACAGAACUACAAAGACGUAUUUACACACAUUCUGUGUGAUCAUGGUUUUCAUUUCAAUACACCGAAGAGGGAUUUGGUACAUGCAGUAUGUUUUAAACUAAAGAAAGAGCUUGUAAUUAAUCCUGACCAAAUUAACAACCAUUUUGUAAACUACAAGCUUUCAUUGUGCAGUACAUGAUGUAUUCUUUAGCUUUAAACCCUUAAGAUGAAGAUGAAAUGAACUCACCACAAAUACUGGAUGUUUAAAGGUUAAAAACUCACAGGGCCACAAAUCCAGGCUACAGAGAGAUCAUAGCGUCCCAGCGGGCUAUAACAUUAGUCACCAGCUUCAUGUUGGUCAUAAAUCUAACGGAGCUGCAUCUUGACUCCGCCUGGGAACAUGAAUGUAAUCCUUAAAACUGAAAUUAUUCUUUAUUUGUCAUCAUGGGCUGAAAGGAGGAUGAAAACAGGCGAUUACAACCUUAACCUGCCACAUCCAAACCCUGUUGACCACUCCGUCAGCCCCCGGUAACAAAGCUUGACUUGACAUUCUGUUAGCAGCGGUGUGGGGGCUGCAAAAUAGAGGGGAAGUGGUGGCUGAUAGGCGUGACGGAGAAGAGAAAGAGAGAGAGACAAGGGACGCCUGUUUGGGAUUUACAGCGGCGGCGUGCUCACCUAGCAGCUGACCGUACUGCUUCACAGGUCAGCCGUUCUAACCGGACUCCAUUAAUACGCCAGUCCACCUUGUGGCACACUUUAUGCUCCAGCGCAUCCACCGCCUUAGGGACAACUUCACUGGCACUUUACUCUAGAACAAAGUAAGAAAGGAGGAGGCCAUGGGUCCAGGAACAAAGAAACCCUCUGAAAAUAGAGGAGGGGUAAGAAAGUCACACAGAAAGUUUGAAGAGUAGUUUUCUCACUGUAGACUUAUAUACUUUACUGUAUAGAGCUGCAGAUAUAGUGAACUUGCACAACUUCAAAUGUCAAAGUUUUUUUCUUUUUUUACUUAGUUUUUUGCUUUAGAGUUGACUCAAGUUCAUCUGAUAUACCAGGUUCUACUUUUUUGGCCCCAUGGCCUGAAGCACACUUUGGGGACAAGCACAGACAUCAUGGUAUAAAUGUGUUUUAUGGCCAGGCAGCUGCCGGGGGCAGGCUGUUUUUUAUGCUUUCUGGCCGAGUACAACAUGGCCACCUGCUUGGUGUAAAACCCUCACUGCUAUGCUGGGCUUUAUGGGCACGUUCCGCAACUAAACAAAGAUAUACAAGGACGUGUGCGGAAAGAGCUGCCUGCUGCAUAUGGUGUGCACUUAAGCAAUUCAUUGGUGCCAUCAGCAUCGGAGGGAGCAAAUCCUCUGCUCCUUGUGGCUUCCAGAGCACCAUGGGACCUGAGUGAUAUUGCUUGGUUCAUGAACCCACUGAUGAAUUACUUUCCUCUACAAGUCUGCGUUUCCCUUAGGCAUGACUGUAUGUGUCACUCUUCUGACAACUCUGUUUUCCUAAGCUCCAGAAAGCCCGCUGAUUAUCCUGAGACACUGUAUGGAGAUACUGCAACUGGGUGGGGAUUCACAGAUGAUCACCCCUAGGAUUCAUAGAAGUGAGCUUGUGUGCGGGCUGCGGAGGGAGGUGAGUGGCACUCAACCACCUGCUCUUCUGAUAAACAAGUUCAUGUAUGAGGAAGGGAGAAAAUGAUUAUUAGAAGGAUUUUCAGAGUGUCAUCCCUCCCUCUCUCUCACUAUCUCACUUUUACAACUACGAGUGGCAGAACAAAAUUACUCCCCGCCAGUGAAUAAUAAGGAAGUUUAUGAAACGUGACGAAUGCGACGGCGCUCUACAUGAAAUACCAAUGAGGGAGGCGCCCCAGCGUAGCAAAUGCUACAUCCUAAUAUCAACAGUCACCUUGUGUUACUCCCUCUACUCCCCAGAAGGACACACCAUGGUGAGAGUAUGAACACAUAAUGCAGGGACACUGACAAACCCAGCGCUGGCAUGUGGGCACGUACAGGCGGCAUGCCACCACAGCGGGCUGGCACCAGGAUGGGCACAGUGGAGGACAAGAGGGGAGGAAGUGUUGUCAUACAUCGUCUCAGUGUCGGGGGUAGGAAUGCUGGCAGUGUCACCUGUGUGCUGACAUGCUGUGUGCAUAUUCGGUCGCAGUGGGGGUCAGAGAAAGUGUGUACAUGACUCAGAUACAGUUGUCACUCAGUGUAUGAGUGAGUCGAAUUAGACACCAAUUAACACUGAGAAACUAGCUUGGUGUGAUGCUCUUGAAUGAAUGUGUGAACCUGAAACUAGUGCUGAAACAAUUAAUGAAUUCAAUUAUGAACAGAAAAUGAAUUGACAGUUGACGUUUUGUUUCGUUUAAACCAUUAAAUGUUAUUUGCAGCGUCCUGUUUUGGAUUUGGUUUGCUUUUCUCAGUUUUAUAGUAUUUUAAAUCUAAAGGAUAGGUUCAGAUUUUUGUCAAGUCUAUUUUAAAACAAGACUCACACGGCCAUAUGCAUGUCGAGAGAGUUAUUGGUGGCUGUCAUCAUUCUUCCUCGCCACACUGGAUGUGAAGACAUCAUUUCCUUUCAAUGUAAGUGAUGGGGGACAAAAUCAAUAGCCCUCACCCUGUGCAAAAUUGCGUUUUAAAGUUCAGCUGAAGCUAAUAUGAGGCUUCAACUGUCUGAGUUACACAAAUCAUGUGGGCAUCUUCCAAAGUCACAGUCUUUUUUUUUAUAGGAGUAAAUUUUCCUCCUCGUUCGUCUGCUGAGCUGCAGCGGAGGGAUAGAAACACAAAGAGCUCUUUGGCUAAACUUUGGAAAGCGUUUUUGCACAGAAUGAGGUGACAAAACGUGAACCUCUCCUUUAAUAGCUUUGGGUAGCGCUGAGCAAACAUUCUGUUCAAUUAUUAUUGUUCACAGUGGAAUCACAUUGUGAUACGAUCAUAUUAUUGUUUUCCAUAUAAAUGAAUCUAAACAAAUUAUAUUUAAAAUUAAAAGCAUUAGUAAUUGAAGGUUUUAUUGUCUACAUCUGAAGACAUUUGUAUUACAGUACAGUGGAACAUGUUUCUCUGCUCAUGAUAUUAGGGCCGUAUAUCAGUUGAAAGGUUUUGCUAGUUUAAGUACCGAUACAAAAACCCCACUUUGAGGAACUACUGUGUAUUUUUUUCUACAAAACACCUUUUUCUUUAUACAGUGUAUAAAACAAAAGCCACAUUUCUUAAAUGUUUAAUGUUUAAACACAAGCAGCCUAAAAGUGGCAACAAUAUGGUUUCUAUCAUAAACUGUGAUCAAGAAUAAGAAAGAACAGUGUGAAUCUGAGCAUUUAUUGCUCACUUUCUGUUUGUGAUUGUCUGUCAUUUAGAUUGGCCCUUAAAACACACUGAGAUUCAUCAGUAUUGUUAAAAUAUGAUGAUUAAUAUUGUGAUAUUGAUUCCGACCACAUUGCUCAGCCCUACCUUUGGGUUUUUUGUAUCGCUGGUUUUUCAAAUCAUUUGAAAUCUCCAUUGUUUAUAUCCAUGUUCACUAGCUAGCAUCCUUAUUCUUCUGUGCCUUUUGCUAGCACAUUUCUUGGCAUGUUUCUGAAACACCUGCAUUGCUCAAUAGCACCAUAGAGAAUGUGAAGUUGAUGGCAACAUCGUAUUGAAUUUUGGGAAUGCGUCAUGUUGUGAGGAUGGUGAAGAUGGCUGCCUUUCUGAUGGCCUGCAGCCCGCAGUGAAUGGCAGAGCUGCAUCACAGUGAGUGAUGAAGACCACAGCAGCAACAUGGGACGCCUGAAGAGAGUGAAGCUUGAUGCAGGACUGAAACAGAAGCUGCAGGACAUCCAACAACUGUUCCAUAGAUGAAUAUCAUCCUCUCAGUCUGCCCAGCCAGGAGAGACAGCGUGAUGGCGCCUGUGUUGGUGUGUUGAUGGGAACAUUAGAUUGCUCAGUUGUUUCAGAGAAAAGCAUCCAGGGACUGGGCUGUGGCUGCUGGAUAUUAGUGUAGUCCUUCACAUGCUCCUUUUGUAAAAUAAAGAUUUAUUCUAUACAA